UGUAAUUACCACCCUAAUUUUUUGUUAUCGCUGCUAUCAGCAUCUGAAUACUUUAUGAUAUUUGAUAAACAGUUCUGAUUGUACAUUAUAAUGUGGAGUGUGCGGUGCUAAAUGCUGACCUGUACGUCAUUGUUUGUCUUGCAGUUGUACUCUGAGUGUCACGCUGGAACAGGCCAUUCUUCUGGCCCGCAAUCACGGCCUGCCCCCACGAUGCAUCAUGCAGGCCACUGACGUCAUGAGGAAGCAGGGAGCAAGAGUGCAGAACUCGGCCAAGAAUCUGGGAGUGAGAGACCGCACCCCAUCAACAGUGCCAAGAUUGUACAAACUGUGCCAGCCUCCACCUCCUGACGGCGACCCCUGAACCCACACCUUCAACUGAUCUGGACAAGCUCUGGUUCAGCUCCAGACAACACAUACAGUACAUUGUCCACGUCAAGAGACCCAUGGAUAUUCAUCCUCACUUCUGCUCAGAGGCAGAUCUGUCGCUUCAACUCAAAGGAUUCACGGUGUAAUAUCUAUUUGAUUUUGUCAUAGGUUUUUAAAGGCACCAUUCUUUUUUUUAUUUCAUACUUUGCUAUGACGCAUCUCAUUCUAGACCGAAGAUCAAACAAACAGGAUGUCUGAUCUCCCAGCUGCUGUCAAGUCAUUCAUAUCAAUAGAGUGUCAGUCAUAAUGUCUGUUUCAAAUAACUUUGUGCUUUAUGUAAAAAAAAAAAAAAAAACACGGUGCUUUAGUCUUUGUAUGUUUAGGGGUAACAUUUGUUUAUAGUUCCUGUAAGCAUCUAAAAGCCUUACUGCAACUGUAUGUGCAUUUUUUGAUUUUUUAUUAUUCAUUUAUUUUCAUAAAAAUCUUUAACAUAUGUAUAGGAUUGGUUUUCACAUUAUUAGGUUUCUCAAGUUUAUUAACACCAUAGUGCAUUAAGCUACAAGUUGCAGUCUCAGUACUGCGGUCUCAGUGAAUUUGGAGUGAUAUACAGUACAGUACUGGAAAGGUUGUACGACUUGGUCAUCAGUGUUAUAGAUUUAUCUAUUUGUCACACUUACAUAGGUAUAUAAGACAUUUUGUCUCCAAAUUUAAAAUAUUAAGUACUCAGGAGUUGUUAUUAUAUGUUAUUGUAAUGUUGCUUAAAAUAACAAGUGAAUCAUUACUAUGCUGUUUUGAGAACCCAUUCUAAACAGGAAUUGUUUAUUAACUUCACAAGUUCCAUUUUGAGAAAUUAAGAUAUUUUAUAGUGUACAUCUGUCUGAAUUAAUAUGCUCUUGAUAAAAGCAGCAAGAAGGUAACAUUAAUUCAUGUGAAAAAAUAACUAUAAAAAAGUUUUCUCUGAAAAAGAUAGUUAUUUAUUUUGUCAUAAAACUAACCCAUUUCGAGAUUUUUCAAAUACAUUAAUUUUCUUUUACCUGGAAUCCUGGUUAAUUUGCCAAUUAUUACAAUAAAUUGUAAUGUCAAAUUUUAAUUAAGUUCAAAUAAAAAAGUUUAAGAGCAAACACAAUCAUAUUCUUUAGAUAAAAAGCCUUCAGUUUUGAUGGAGCUGUGUGACUAAAUAUUUAUGCAAAAGACUUUAACAGUGAUUUUGAUUUAACUUUGUGUUGCAAAUCUGUCAGAUCUACAGAUCUCUCCAGUGAAUGUAUUUAGUCUGUGUUUGACAGUAUGCAUUUUCCCAGGCUCAUUGUCACUAGCAAUUUUUGCAAAUUGUUUCCAGUUUUGUAAUAACUUAGUGACACCAAUCUAUAGUAACACCAAUGGACUUCAUGUCUUGAAAAUUGUUUCUGUUUAAAUUGUAAAAAAAGAAGAAAAUAAAGUUUUAAAUAUAAAUGAUUGUAUAUAAUUAUAAUUAUUAUUAUUAUAGACUUUAUCUUAUAUAUCAAAGCAUCUUGUGUCAGUGCAUCAAAGAGCCAGUGCAGAAUAUACUGUAUAUAGCAAGACUGAAAAUCUGUAUUGUAUGUAAACCAACUCUGGAACUAAUUGUUUAAAAUAGUUUUUUAGAUUUAGUCCUUUUUUAUAAAUUGUCUCUGAUUUAGUUCACACAAAAUUUGUAAAAAAAAAGAAAAAA